UACGGGGGGUGCGAGCGUUGUCCGGAAUCACUGGGCGUAAAGGGCGCGUAGGUGGCGUGAUAAGGGUGUGGUGAAAGCCCGGGGCUCAACCCCGGGUCGGCCAUGCCGACUGUCAGGCUCGAGUGCUGUAGGGGCAGGCGGAAUUCCGGGUGUAGCGGUGGAAUGCGUAGAGAUCCGGAGGAAGACCGGUGGCGAAGGCGGCCUGCUGGGCAGUUACUGACACUGAGGCGCGAAAGCUAGGGGAGCGAACGGG
rnacentral:rRNA from 1 species